rnacentral:rRNA from 1 species
GAUGAACGCUGGCUACAGGCUUAACACAUGCAAGUCGAGGGGAAACGACGGGGAAGCUUGCUUCCCCGGGCGUCGACCGGCGCACGGGUGAGUAACGCGUAUCCAACCUGCCUCUGACUGAGGGAUAACCCGUCGAAAGUCGGCCUAAUACCUCAUGGUAUCGUCUGCGGGCAUCCAACGACGAUUAAAGAUUUCAUCGGUCAGGGAUGGGGAUGCGUCUGAUUAGCUUGUUGGCGGGGUAACGGCCCACCAAGGCUACGAUCAGUAGGGGUUCUGAGAGGAAGGUCCCCCACAUUGGAACUGAGACACGGUCCAAACUCCUACGGGAGGCAGCAGUGAGCAAUAUGGGUCAAUGGGCGAGAGCCUGAACCAGCCAAGUAGCGUGCAGGAAGACGGCCCUAUGGGUUGUAAACUGCUUUUAUGCGGGGAUAAAGUGAGGGACGUGUCCCUCAUUGCAGGUACCGCAUGAAUAAGGACCGGCUAAUUCCGU